UGCAAUUGCACCGUCUGGAGAUGAGCCUGCGGUCCAUUAGCUUGUUGGUGGGGUAAAGGCCUACCAAGGCAACGAUGGAUAGCCGGCCUGAGAGGGUGAACGGCCACACUGGGACUGAGACACGGCCCAGACUCCUACGGGAGGCAGCAGCUAAGAACCUUCCGCAAUGGGCGAAAGCCUGACGGAGCGACGCCGCGUGAAUGAAGAAGGCCUAACGGUUGUAAAAUUCUUUUCUUGGGGAAGAAUAAGGAAUGGAGUGGAAAGCCAUUCUGAUGACAUUAUUCAAGGAAUAAGCCCCGGCCAAUUACGUGCCAGCAGCCGCGGUAAUACGUAAGGGGCAAGCGUUGUUCGGAAUUAUUGGGCGUAAAGGGCGUGUAGGCGGUUUUAUAAGCCCGAUGUGAAAUACCACAGCUCAACUGUGGAAACGCGUCGGGAACUGUAAGACUAGAGUUCAGGAAGGGAAGCUGGAAUUCCUGGUGUAGGGGUGAAAUCUGUAGAUAUCAGGAAGAACACCGAUGGCGAAGGCAAGCUUCUAGACAUGGACUGACGCUGAGGCGCGAAAGCGUGGGGAGCGAACAGGAUUAGAUACCCUGGUAGUCCACGCUGUAAACGAUGUACACUUGGUGUAGGGACGAACGUCUCUGUGCCGGAGCUAACGCGUUAAGUGUACCGCCUGGGGAGUAUGCCCGCAAGGGUGAAACUCAAAGGAAUUGACGGGGGCCCGCACAAGCGGUGGAGCAUGUGGUUUAAUUCGAUACGCGAGAAACCUUACCAGGGCUUGACAUCUACCGGAAUGUACAAGAGAUUGUGCAGUCUUCUUUGAAGACUGGUAGACAGGUGCUGCAUGGCUGUUGUCAGCUCGUGUCGUGAGAUGUUGGGUUAAGUCCCGCAACGAGCGCAACCCUUACUGUCUGUUACCAGCAUACUUUAUUGUGAUGGGGACUCAGGCAGAACUGCCGGUGACAAACCGGAGGAAGGUGGGGACGACGUCAAGUCAUCAUGGCCCUUAUGUCCUGGGCUACACACGUGCUACAAUGGUCGUUACAGAGCGGAGCGAGACGGCGACGUCAAGCAAAUCGCAAAAAGACGACCUAAGUUCGGAUUGGAGUCUGAAACUCGACUCCAUGAAGCUGGAAUCGCUAGUAAUCGCGCAUCAGCAUGGCGCGGUGAAUAAGUUCCCGGGCCUUGUACACACCGCCCGUCACACCACCC
rnacentral:rRNA from 1 species